UGCCAGCAGCCGCGGUAAUACGGAGGGUGCGAGCGUUAAUCGGAAUCACUGGGCGUAAAGCGUACGUAGGCGGUUCGUUAAGUCUGAUGUGAAAGCCCGGGGCUCAACCCCGGAAGUGCAUUGGAAACUGGCGAACUUGAGUACGGGAGAGGAAAGUGGAAUUCCGAGUGUAGGGGUGAAAUCCGUAGAUAUUCGGAGGAACACCAGUGGCGAAGGCGGCUAACUGGACUGAUACUGACGCUGAGGUGCGAAAGUGUGGGGAGCAAACAGGAUUAGAUA
rnacentral:rRNA from 1 species